UUCUACUCCGACUCUAUCUCAGAUAAAAGCACGGCAAACGAGCUCGAGCGCAGGCAUCCGACCUCGUCCGGACAGUUCGACGAGCCAAGUCCAGGCACUCCAGGCUCAGCUGCAAGAAGAGAGGAGAGAACGUAUGGAGUUGGAGGCAAGGAUGAGGGCGGAGAUGGAGGCCGAGCGGGAGGCUGACCGACAGAGGAUGGCGAGCAUGUUCGCGUACAUUCAGAGUCUUGGCGCAGCGACGGGUCUACCUCCGCCACCUCCCUUCGUCACCCCACCUAGACCACCCACCGAUCCGUUUUCUACUUCAAAUCAGUCGGCGGCCUCCAAUGAUCCGUAUAUUUCUCCAAAUCAGACCAACCAGAACAACUAGCCACCUUCGGCAUAGAUGAUGGAGUU